UCGCGCCUAUCAGCUUGUGGUGGGUAACGGCCUACCAAGGCGAUUACGGGUACCGGCCUGAGAGGCGACCGGCCACACUGGGACUGAGCACGGCCCAGACUCCUGCGGGAGGCAGCAGUGGGAAUAUUGCGCAAUGGGCGAAAGCCUGACGCAGCGACGCCGCGUGGGGGAUGACGGCCUUCGGGUUGUAACCUCUUUUACCACCAACGCAGGCUCCGGGUUCUCUCGGGGUUGACGGUAGGUGGGGAAUAAGGACCGGCUAACUACGUGCCAGCAGCCGCGGUAAUACGUAGGGUCCGAGCGUUGUCCGGAAUUAUUGGGCGUAAAGAGCUCGUAGGCGGCGUGUCGCGUCUGCUGUGAAAGACCGGGGCUUAACCCCGGUUCUGCAGUGGAUACGGGCAUGCUAGAGGUAGGUAGGGGAGACUGGAAUUCCUGGUGUAGCGGUGAAAUGCGCAGAUAUCAGGAGGAACACCGGUGGCGAAGGCGGGUCUCUGGGCCUUACCUGACGCUGAGGAGCGAAAGCAUGGGGAGCGAACAGGAUUAGAUACCCUGGUAGUCCAUGCCGUAAACGUUGGGCGCUAGGUGUGGGGACUUUCCACGGUUUCCGCGCCGUAGCUAACGCAUUAAGCGCCCCGCCUGGGGAGUACGGCCGCAAGGCUAAAACUCAAAGGAAUUGACGGGGGCCCGCACAAGCGGCGGAGCAUGUUGCUUAAUUCGACGCAACGCGAAGAACCUUACCAAGGUUUGACAUCACCCGUGGACCUGUAGAGAUACAGGGUCAUUUGGUUGGCGGGUGACAGGUGGUGCAUGGCUGUCGUCAGCUCGUGUCGUGAGAUGUUGGGUUAAGUCCCGCAACGAGCGCAACCCUUGUUCCAUGUUGCCAGCACGUAGUGGUGGGGACUCAUGGGAGACUGCCGGGGUCAACUCGGAGGAAGGUGGGGACGACGUCAAGUCAUCAUGCCCCUUAUGUCUUGGGCUGCAAACAUGCUACAAUGGCCGGUACAAUGGGCGUGCGAUACCGUGAGGUGGAGCGAAUCCCUAAAAGCCGGUCUCAGUUCGGAUUGGGGUCUGCAACUCGACCCCAUGAAGGUGGAGUCGCUAGUAAUCGCGGAUCAGCAACGCCGCGGUGAAUACGUUCCCGGGCCUUGUACACACCGCCCGUCACGUCAUGAAAGUCGGCAACACCCGAAACUUGUGUUAGUACCAUCCUGGCUCGAGUGGAACUGCUGUGUUGUCCCCGGCCGCCUCC
rnacentral:rRNA from 1 species